AGUAAGACUCUGUCUCAACAAAGGAAGCAGAGAGCAAUUGAGGAAGACACUUGGCAUGGAUCUCUGGCCUCCAUGUGUGUGCAUGCAUACAUAAACACACACAGAGAGAGAAAGGAGGGCAGAAGAAGAAACAGAAAAAUUAAUUGCAAAGUAUACACUUAAAAAUCCUUAAACCAACAGAAGGAAAAGAGCCCAAAAGAAGGAACAAGAAUCAGAGACCUACUUGUUCACUCACGCAGGAAUCUCACAAAAACGCUAAACUGGAAGCUGUGAUGGAAUCCUUCAGAGGCAUAAGCUCCAGUGUCAUUGUCCCUCUUUCCUGUGGUGGCUCACAGGUCAGGCUACAGCUCUCAGCAACUUCUCCAGCAUCAUGCAUGGUUGCCACCAUGCUUUCUGUCACCACGUUCCCUGCCAUGAUGAUAAUGGACAGAGCCUCUGAAACUGAAAGCGAUCCACUAACGAUAUACUUUAUUUUUUAUUAAGAAUUGCCUUGAUCAUAAUGUCUCUUCAAAAUAAGAGCAGUGACUAAGAGUUGAUAAAAUGCAUACGAUCCUGGCUUCCCAGCACCCACAUUACAAAAGAAAAACAAACAAACAAACAACAACAACCACAAAAGCCAGUUCCUCAUGGUCAUGUGUAUCUAUCUGUAACCCUGUCACUGGCGCUGGGAGGCAGAGACACGUGGAUCCUCCGAACUCACUGGCCAGCAAAUAAAGCCAAUUUGUGAGCA